rnacentral:rRNA from 1 species
AUACGGAAGGUGCAAGCGUUAAUCGGGAAUCACUGGGCGUAAAAGCGCUCGUAGGUGGCUUUGUAAGUCAGGUGUGAAAGCCCACGGCUCAACCGUGGAAUUGCACUUGAUACUGCAUUGCUUGAGUUUGGGAGAGGGUAGUGGAAUUCCAGGUGUAGGAGUGAAAUCCGUAGAGAUCUGGAGGAACACCAGUGGCGAAGGCGACUACCUGGACCGAUACUGACACUGAGGAGACGAAAGCGUGGGGAGC